CGGUCCAGACUCCUACGGGAGGCAGCAGUGGGGAAUAUUGCACAAUGGGCGCAAGCCUGAUGCAGCCAUACCGCGUGUGUGAAGAAGGCUCUAGGGUUGUAAAGCACUUUCAGUUGGGAGGAAAAGUUAGUCGUUAAUACCGGCUAGCCGCGACGUUACCAACAGAAGAAGCACCGGCUAACUCCGUGCCAGCAGCCGCGGUAA
rnacentral:rRNA from 1 species